rnacentral:rRNA from 1 species
GGUGACGAGCGGCGGACGGGUGAGUAACGCGUAGGAAUCUACCUAGUAGAGGGGGACAACAUGUGGAAACGCAUGCUAAUACCGCAUACGCCCUUAGGGGGAAAGGAGGGGACUUUUCGGAGCCUUCCGCUAUUAGAUGAGCCUGCGUGAGAUUAGCUAGUUGGUAGGGUAAAGGCCUACCAAGGCGACGAUCUCUAACUGGUCUGAGAGGAUGACCAGUCACACUGGGACUGAGACACGGCCCAGACUCC